UGAUGAACGCUAGCUACAGGCUUAACACAUGCAAGUCGAGGGGCAGCAUUUCAGUUUGCUUGCAAACUGGAGAUGGCGACCGGCGCACGGGUGAGUAACACGUAUCCAACCUGCCGAUAACUCGGGGAUAGCCUUUCGAAAGAAAGAUUAAUACCCGAUGGUAUAAUCAGACCGCAUGGUCUUGUUAUUAAAGAAUUUCGGUUAUCGAUGGGGAUGCGUUCCAUUAGGCAGUUGGUGAGGUAACGGCUCACCAAACCUUCGAUGGAUAGGGGUUCUGAGAGGAAGGUCCCCCACAUUGGAACUGAGACACGGUCCAAACUCCUACGGGAGGCAGCAGUGAGGAAUAUUGGUCAAUGGGCGCAGGCCUGAACCAGCCAAGUAGCGUGAAGGAUGACUGCCCUAUGGGUUGUAAACUUCUUUUAUAUGGGAAUAAAGUUUUCCACGUGUGGAAUUUUGUAUGUACCAUAUGAAUAAGGAUCGGCUAACUCCGUGCCAGCAGCCGCGGUAAUACGGAGGAUCCGAGCGUUAUCCGGAUUUAUUGGGUUUAAAGGGAGCGUAGGUGGACAGUUAAGUCAGUUGUGAAAGUUUGCGGCUCAACCGUAAAAUUGCAGUUGAUACUGGCUGUCUUGAGUACAGUAGAGGUGGGCGGAAUUCGUGGUGUAGCGGUGAAAUGCUUAGAUAUCACGAAGAACUCCGAUUGCGAAGGCAGCUCACUGGACUGCAACUGACACUGAUGCUCGAAAGUGUGGGUAUCAAACAGGAUUAGAUACCCUGGUAGUCCACACAGUAAACGAUGAAUACUCGCUGUUUGCGAUAUACAGUAAGCGGCCAAGCGAAAGCAUUAAGUAUUCCACCUGGGGAGUACGCCGGCAACGGUGAAACUCAAAGGAAUUGACGGGGGCCCGCACAAGCGGAGGAACAUGUGGUUUAAUUCGAUGAUACGCGAGGAACCUUACCCGGGCUUAAAUUGCAUUUGAAUAUAUUGGAAACAGUAUAGCCGUAAGGCAAAUGUGAAGGUGCUGCAUGGUUGUCGUCAGCUCGUGCCGUGAGGUGUCGGCUUAAGUGCCAUAACGAGCGCAACCCUUAUCUUUAGUUACUAACAGGUCAUGCUGAGGACUCUAGAGAGACUGCCGUCGUAAGAUGUGAGGAAGGUGGGGAUGACGUCAAAUCAGCACGGUCUUUACGUCCGGGGCUACACACGUGUUACAAUGGGGGGUA
rnacentral:rRNA from 1 species